UGCGCGGCUACCAUGCCAGUCGAGCGGUAGAGAGAAGCUUGCUUCUCUUGAGAGCGGCGGACGGGUGAGUAAUGCCUAGGAAUCUGCCUGGUAGUGGGGGAUAACGUUCGGAAACGGACGCUAAUACCGCAUACGUCCUACGGGGAGAAAGCAGGGGGACCUUCGGGCCCUUGCGCUUAUCAGAUGAACCCUAGGGUCGGAAUUAACUAGGUUGGGGAGGGUAAUGGCUUCCCCCAAGGGGRACGAUUCCGUAACUGGG
rnacentral:rRNA from 1 species